rnacentral:lncRNA from 1 species
GACUUGACGUUCGAAGCCCAUUGGGCCUUGAGGCCCAAAACUAUCCUGAGGUCUUUAACGAAAUUAUUCGUUUGAUUAAUUAACAUAUUAAUUAAUCCUUGCCAUAAAUAAUUAAACCAUUUAAUUAUUCUUACUCAUCUCCAUUGUUUCUUCAAUCUCCACCUUACACGGUGUACGAUCCAUUAGGUUCUUUUUAGCGAGGCAGUGGGCGAUUAAAACCAUUUUACAUCGAUUGUGAAUUGAAACUUACUUUCAAUUCUCCCUUUAGUGAUUACACACGUUUAGGGCUUCCACAAACCAAGAGUGACACCUAGCAGCAUAUCAUGGUUACCCAAGCUAAUCAGAAGAGGUGGAUAACCUAUUCAGUUUAGGAUUACAAAUGCAAUACGGUCUUUCUCUAAUACAAUACUCUUGAUCACAUUGUUUGGUUUGAUAGUUUAUUUAUUCAUGUCUACUAUCCAAUGUGAUUUGUGUGCUUAUAUGAUUGCCUUGAAUGUGAUUUAGAACGACUUUUCUAAAUCUCAUUCAUACUCUGGCUAGAGGUUCUAAAUCAUAUCAUAGAGUAUUCUCCCUCAAACGGUUUGAAGGUUAGAGAUCCCUUGUUGCGCAUUCACUUGUCUCCAUGACUAAGUGGCUUAACCCCAAUGAUGCCAUGGACACCUCGAUGGCGUGACUUUGACAUAAUCAAAGAUCAAGGACUUAACCACAAGACAACUGUGAUGCCUCAGG